rnacentral:piRNA from 1 species
UGGAAUAUAAUAAGCCUCUCUCCAAAAGCUGU